rnacentral:rRNA from 1 species
CGUAACGCGUAUAGAAUCUGCCUUUUACAGGAGAAUAGCCCUAAGAAAUUGGGAUUAAUGCUCCAUAGUUUUGGUUAGUCACAUGACUUUUCAAAUAAAGCUCCGGCGGUAAAAGAUGGGCAUGCGUAUCAUUAGCUAGUUGGUAAGGUAACGGCUUACCAAGGCAACGAUGAUUAUGGGGUCUUAAAGGAUGGUCCCACACACUGGUACUGAGACACGGACCAGACUCCUACGGGAGGCAGCAGUGAGGAAUAUUGGUCAAUGGACGCAAGUCUGAACCAGCCAUCCCGCGUGAAGGAUGACUGCCCUAUGGGUUGUAAACUUCUUUUAUAUACCAAGAACAGUAGAUACGUGUAUUUAUUUGACGGUAGUAUAUGAAUAAGCACCGGCUAACUCCGUGCCAGCAGCCGCGGUAAUACGGAGGGUGCAAGCGUUAUCCGGAUUUAUUAGGUUUAAAGGGUGCGUAGGUGGAUUAAUAAGUCAGUGGUGAAAUCCUGUAGCUCAACUACAGAAUUGCCAUUGAUACUGUUGAUCUUGAGUGCGUUUGAGGUAUGCGGAAUGUGUAAUGUAGCGGUGAAAUGCAUAGAUAUUACACAGAACCCCGAUUGCGAAGGCAGCAUACUAAGCCGUAACUGACACUGAUGCACGAAAGCGUGGGUAGCGAACAGGAUUAGAUACCCUGGUAGUCCACGCCGUAAACGAUGCUCACUCGUUGUCUGCGAUACACAGUAGGCGACUAAGGGAAACCAUUAAGUGAGCCACCUGGGGAGUACGUUGGCAACAAUGAAACUCAAAGGAAUUGACGGGGGCCCGCACAAGCGGAGGAACAUGUGGUUUAAUUCGAUGAUACGCGAGGAACCUUACCUGGGCUUAAAUGUAGAUUGCAUUAUUUGGAAACGAGUAUUUCUUUCGAGACUAUUUACAAGGUGCUGCAUGGUUGUCGUCAGCUCGUGCCGUGAGGUGUCGGGUUAAGUCCCAUAACGAGCGCAACCCCUAUCGUUAGUUGCCAUCAGGUUAAGCUGGGGACUCUAACGAGACUGCCACCGUAAGGUGUGAGGAAGGUGGGGAUGACGUCAAAUCAGCACGGCCCUUAUGUCCAGGGCUACACACGUGUUACAAUGGCCGAUACAAAGAGCAGCCACCUGGCGACAGGGCGCUAAUCUCAAAAGUCGGUCUUAGUUCGGAUCGGAGUCUGCAACUCGACUCCGUGAAGCUGGAUUCGCUAGUAAUCGUAUAUCAGCCAUGAUACGGUGAAUACGUUCCCGGGCCUUGUACACACCGCCCGUCAAGCCAUGGAAGUUGGGGGUGCCUGAAGUCCGUAACCGUAAGGAGCGGCCUAGGGUAAAACUGGUAACUAGGGCU